CUACGGGAGGCAGCAGUGAGGAAUAUUGGGCAAUGGUCGCAAGACUGACCCAGCCAUGCCGCGUGCAGGAUGACGGUCCUAUGGAUUGUAAACUGCUUUUGUACAGGAAGAAACACUGGUACGUGUACCAGCUUGACGGUACUGUAAGAAUAAGGAUCGGCUAACUCCGUGCCAGCAGCCGCGGUAAUACGGAGGAUCCAAGCGUUAUCCGGAAUCAUUGGGUUUAAAGGGUCCGUAGGCGGUUUUAUAAGUCAGUGGUGAAAUCCGGCAGCUCAACUGUCGAACUGCCAUUGAUACUGUAGAACUUGAAUUACUUGGAAGUAACUAGAAUAUGUAGUGUAGCGGUGAAAUGCUUAGAGAUUACAUGGAAUACCAAUUGCGAAGGCAGGUUACUACGAGUAUAUUGACGCUGAUGGACGAAAGCGUGGGGAGCGAACAGGAUUAGAUACCCCAGUAGUCC
rnacentral:rRNA from 1 species